rnacentral:rRNA from 1 species
AUACGGAGGGGGCUAGCGUUGUUCGGAAUUACUGGGCGUAAAGCGCACGUAGGCGGACUGGUCAGUUGGGGGUGAAAGCCCAAGGCUCAACCUUGGAACUGCCCUCAAUACUGCCAGUCUUGAGUCCGGGAGAGGUGAGUGGAAUUCCUAGUGUAGAGGUGAAAUUCGUAGAUAUUAGGAAGAACACCAGUGGCGAAGGCGGCUCACUGGCCCGGUACUGACGCUGAGGUGCGAAAGCGUGGGGAGCAAACAGGAUUAGAAACCCGGGUAGUCC